rnacentral:rRNA from 1 species
AGCGAACGCUGGCGGCAGGCCUAACACAUGCAAGUCGAACGGAUCCUUCGGGAUUAGUGGCGGACGGGUGAGUAACACGUGGGAACGUGCCUUUUGGUUCGGAACAACUCAGGGAAACUUGAGCUAAUACCGAAUGUGCCCUUCGGGGAAAGAUUUAUCGCCAUUAGAGCGGCCCGCGUCUGAUUAGCUUGUUGGUGAGGUAAAGGCUCACCAAGGCUACGAUCAGUAGCUGGUCUGAGAGGAUGAUCAGCCACAUUGGGACUGAGACACGGCCCAAACUCCUACGGGAGGCAGCAGUGGGGAAUCUUGCGCAAUGGGCGAAAGCCUGACGCGGCCAUGCCGCGUGAAUGAUGAAGGUCUUAGGAUUGUAAAAUUCUUUCACCGGGGACGAUAAUGACGGUACCCGGAGAAGAAGCCCCGGCUAACUUCGUGCCAGCAGCCGCGGUAAU